rnacentral:rRNA from 1 species
UACGAAGGGGGCUAGCGUUGCUCGGAUUGACUGGGCGUAAAGGGCGCGUAGGCGGUUCGUACAGUCAGACGUGAAAUUCCUGGGCUCAACCUGGGGGCUGCGUUUGAUACGUGCGGACUUGAGUGCGGAAGAGGGUCGUGGAAUUCGCAGUGUAGAGGUGAAAUUCGUAGAUAUUGGGAAGAACACCGGUGGCGAAGGCGGCGACCUGGUCCGAUACUGACGCUGAGGCGCGAAAGCGUGGGGAGCAAACAGG